GACGAACGCUGGCGGCGUGCUUAACACAUGCAAGUCGAACGAUGAACCCGGAGCUUGCUCUGGGGGAUUAGUGGCGAACGGGUGAGUAACACGUGAGUAACCUGCCCUGGACUCUGGGAUAAGCGUUGGAGACGACGUCUAAUACCGGAUAGGACCUUGGAUCGCAUGAUCUGGGGUGGAAAGUUUUUUCGGUCUGGGAUGGACUCGCGGCCUAUCAGCUUGUUGGUGAGGUAAUGGCUCACCAAGGCGUCGACGGGUAGCCGGCCUGAGAGGGUGACCGGCCACACUGGGACUGAGACACGGCCCAGACUCCUACGGGAGGCAGCAGUGGGGAAGAUUGCACAAUGGGCGAAAGCCUGAUGCAGCAACGCCGCGUGCGGGAUGACGGCCUUCGGGUUGUAAACCGCUUUUAGUAGGGAAGAAGGGCUUCGGCUUGACGGUACCUGCAGAAAAAGGACCGGCUAACUACGU
rnacentral:rRNA from 1 species